UAGAGUUUGAUCAUGGCUCAGGAUGAACGCUAGCGACAGGCUUAACACAUGCAAGUCGAGGGGCAGCGGGGAGGUAGCAAUACUUCCGCCGGCGACCGGCGCACGGGUGAGUAACACGUAUGGAACCUGCCCGUAGCAGGGGGAUAAGCGGAAGAAAUUCCGUCUAAUACCGCGUAAUAACUCCGAGAGGCAUCUCCUGGGGUUUAAAGGGUAACACCGGCUACGGAUGGCCAUGCGGCGCAUUAGCUAGUUGGCGGGGUAACGGCCCACCAAGGCGACGAUGCGUAGGGGUUCUGAGAGGAAGGUCCCCCACACUGGUACUGAGACACGGACCAGACUCCUACGGGAGGCAGCAGUGAGGAAUAUUGGUCAAUGGGCGCGAGCCUGAACCAGCCAAGUCGCGUGAGGGAAGACGGUCCUAUGGAUUGUAAACCUCUUUUGUCGGGGAGCAAAAGACGCCACGCGUGGCGUUCCGAGAGUACCCGAAGAAAAAGCAUCGGCUAACUCCGUGCCAGCAGCCGCGGUAAUACGGAGGAUGCGAGCGUUAUCCGGAUUUAUUGGGUUUAAAGGGUGCGCAGGCGGAAGAUCAAGUCAGCGGUAAAAUUGAGAGGCUCAACCUCUUCGAGCCGUUGAAACUGGUUUUCUUGAGUGAGCGAGAAGUAUGCGGAAUGCGUGGUGUAGCGGUGAAAUGCAUAGAUAUCACGCAGAACUCCGAUUGCGAAGGCAGCAUACCGGCGCUCAACUGACGCUCAUGCACGAAAGUGUGGGUAUCGAACAGGAUUAGAUACCCUGGUAGUCCACACAGUAAACGAUGAAUACUAAUUGUUCGGGGAGAAUGAUCCCUGAGUGAUACAGCGAAAGCGUUAAGUAUUCCACCUGGGGAGUACGCCGGCAACGGUGAAACUCAAAGGAAUUGACGGGGGCCCGCACAAGCGGAGGAACAUGUGGUUUAAUUCGAAGCAACGCGAAGAACCUUACCUGAUCUUGACAUCCCGAUGACCGGGACUUAAUCGUCCCUUCUCUACGGAGCAUCGGAGACAGGUGGUGCAUGGUUGUCGUCAGCUCGUGUCGUGAGAUGUUGGGUUAAGUCCCGCAACGAGCGCAACCCCUAUCUUCAGUAGCCAGCACGAAAGGUGGGCACUCUGGAGAGACUGCCAGGGACAACCUGGAGGAAGGUGGGGAUGACGUCAAAUCAUCAUGCCCCUUAUGACCAGGGCUACACACGUGCUACAAUGGCGUAAACAAAGGGAAGCGACCACGUGAGUGUAAGCGAAUCCCAAAAAUAACGUCUCAGUUCGGAUUGUAGUCUGCAACUCGACUACAUGAAGCUGGAAUCGCUAGUAAUCGCGAAUCAGAAUGUCGCGGUGAAUACGUUCCCGGGUCUUGUACACACCGCCCGUCACACCAUGGGAGUCAGUAACGCCCGAAGCCGGUGACCCAACCGAACAGGAGGGAGCCGUCGAAGGUGGGACCGAUAACUGGGGUGAAGUCGUAACAAGGUAGCCGUAA
rnacentral:rRNA from 1 species